rnacentral:rRNA from 1 species
AACGAACGCUGGCGGCAGGCUUAACACAUGCAAGUCGAGCGGGGUGAGGUGCUUCGGUACUGAUCCUAGCGGCGGACGGGUGAGUAAUGCUUAGGAAUCUGCCAUUUAGUGGGGGACAACAUUCCGAAAGGAAUGCUAAUACCGCAUACGUCCUACGGGAGAAAGCAGGGGAUCUUCGGACCUUGCGCUAAAUGAUGAGCCUAAGUCGGGUUAGCUAGUUGGUGGGGUCAAGGCCUACCAAGGCGACGAGCUGUAGCGGGUCUGAGAGGAUGAGCCGCCACACUGGGAGUGAGACACGGCCCAGACUCCUACGGGAGGCAGCAGUGGGGAAUAUUGGACAAUGGGCGGAAGCCUGAUCCAGCCAUGCCGCGUGUGUGAAGAAGGCCUUUUGGUUGUAAAGCACUUUAAGCGAGGAGGAGGCUACCUGGAUUAAUACUCUGGGAUAGUGGACGUUACUCGCAGAAUAAGCACCGGCUAACUCUGUGCCAGCCGCCGCGGUAAAAC